CCCUAAGUAGUGGCGAGCGAACGGGGACUAGCCCUUAAGCUGAUUUGGUUCUAGGAAAAUGCUCUGGAAAGAGCAGCCAUAGAAGGUGAUAGCCCUGUAUCUGAAAGGGCCAUUUCAGUGAAGACGAGUAGGGCGGGGCACGUGAAACCUUGUCUGAAUAUGGGGGGACCAUCCUCCAAGGCUAAAUACUCCUGACUGACCGAUAGUGAACCAGUACCGUGAGGGAAAGGCGA
rnacentral:rRNA from 1 species